rnacentral:rRNA from 1 species
GUGGGGAAUCUUCCGCAAUGGACGAAAGUCUGACGGAGCAACGCCGCGUGAGUGAAGAAGGUUUUCGGAUCGUAAAGCUCUUUCGUUAGGGACGAACGUGCUCUUUGUGAAUAAUGAGGAGUAAUGACGGUACCUAAAUAAGAAGCCACGGCUAACUACGUGCCAGCAGCCGCGGUAAUACGUAGGUGGCAAGCGUUGUCCGGAAUUAUUGGGCGUAAAGCGCGCGCAGGCGGGAUAUCAAGUCUGUCUUAAAAGUGCGAGGCUCAACCUCGUGAGGGGACAGAAACUGGUAUUCUUGAGUGUCGGAGAGGAAAGUGAAAUUCCAAGUGUAGCGGUGAAAUGCGUAGAGAUUUGGAAGAACACCAGUGGCGAAGGCGACUUUCUGGACGAUGUCUGACGCUGAGGCGCGAAAGCUAGGGGAGCGAACGGGAUUAGAUACCCUAGUAGUCC